rnacentral:rRNA from 1 species
GAUGAACGCUGGCGGCGUGCCUAAUACAUGCAAGUCGAGCGAACAGAUGAGGAGCUUGCUCCUCUGACGUUAGCGGCGGACGGGUGAGUAACACGUGGAUAACCUACCUAUAAGACUGGGAUAACUUCGGGAAACCGGAGCUAAUACCGGAUAAUAUAUUGAACCGCAUGGUUCAAUAGUGAAAGACGGUUUUGCUGUCACUUAUAGAUGGAUCCGCGCCGCAUUAGCUAGUUGGUAAGGUAACGGCUUACCAAGGCAACGAUGCGUAGCCGACCUGAGAGGGUGAUCGGCCACACUGGAGCUGGGACACGGUCCAGGCUCCUACGGGAGGCAGCAGUAGGGAAUCUUCCGCAAUGGGCGAAAGCCUGACGGAGCAACGCCGCGUGAGUGAUGAAGGUCUUCGGAUCGUAAAGCUCUGUUAUUAGGGAAGAACAAAUGUGUAAGUAACUAUGCACGUCUUGACGGUACCUAAUCAGAAAGCCACGGCUAACUACGUG